AAUAAAGCAGGAUUCAUUUUAGAUGGGAAGGCUUCACUGAUCUGAAAGAGAAAAGGAGUAAGCCUGAAAGUUUGGGAAAGCAUGGGAGGAACACAAAUGCAAAGGCCCUGAAGCAGGAGGAUCUCCGCCCCCCCGUUUGAAAAACUUCAAACAACCCUGUGACUAGAUAAAAGAGAGAGCAUUGCCCAUAAUCAUCAAGUUUGGAAUCGAAUGUCCAUUAUUCAGAAGUUGUGUAACUGUGGACUUCUACCCAAUGGAAUAUUAUGCAACUAUACAAAGAAUGAGGUUGUUUCUACAUAUUGACAUGGAUAUUCACCAGAUACCAUAAUUAUUCUUUAAGGUGCAUCCAAAGUCAUUGUGUAAUCCUGGGCUCUCAUUGACUCCUGCCUUCAGGAGCCUGCAUGUUCUGGAUACAAGAGCUGUGAGGCUUCUCUCUGGUCACACUGGCAUCCUCAAGGUCCCUGCAACAGAGCGGGCAACAGAUCAGACUCUCUCAGAGCCUUUGCUCCAGCUCAGUGGUUCUCAAGGGAUGACCCAGGGAUCUCUUGGAGAAACCUAGAGGACACCACAUUUACCAGGCUAAUAUCACCAAAGUGGGACAUUGCCACGUUCUCCUGAUGCGGUGCCUGAGAAAAUCACAGCAUCAUUUAUGCUGUAUUACUGUCCGAAGACUCAUAACCUGCUUCGAAUCACUUGGAAACUCACAUCAAAGGACACAGUAUAAAACAAUUGGCUUAGACCCUUAAAAAUAUCAUUGCCUUGAAAGAAGAAAAAAAGACAUGGGAACUGUUCCCAAUUAAAGGCAACUAAAAAACACAUGGCAAUUGAAUGCAAUGCAUGUUCUUGAAUCAGACCCUAAACUGGGGUGGGGCAGGGAGGAAUAACAGAAAGAUGACUGGUGAAAUUUAAAUAUGCAUUGUAUGAUAGAUAAUUGCAUUGGAUUACGUUAAAUUUCAUGGCUUUGGUCAUUGUGCUAUGAUUUUAUAGGAGAAUAUUCUUUUUCUUAGGAAAUACUAACUGAAGUAUUUGGGGGGGGGGGAUAAAGAAAUACAAUAAU